GGCCCAAUCGCUCAGUUGGUUAGAGCGCCGCCCUGUCACGGCGGAGGUCGCGGGUUCGAGUCCCGCUUGGGUCG
rnacentral:tRNA from 1 species